rnacentral:misc_RNA from 1 species
AAACUGCGAUAAGUAGUGUGAAUUGCAUUUAGUGAAUCAUCGAAUCUUUGAACGCACCUUGCACUCACUGGUAUUCCGGUGAGUACGCCUGUUUCAGUAUCAUUGAAAACACACAAUCAAAACAUUUUCUUUGGUUUGAUUGGCUUUGGGUCUAUCAAAAAGUUUGGCUUGUUUCUUACAAGCCAAGCGGCCUGAAAUAUAUUGUCUGGCUAAUUGCAUCGUUGAUGAUCGCUAUUAGACUUUGGCUUUUUUAAAUGAACUGGAGGUUGAUUAACCAGUUUUAGCUUCAGUCAAAUGGUCAUUGUAAAAAAAAUCUCGAUCUUGGCUAGGUGUUUAUAGCCGAAAAUUUUUUUUUGGCUAUAACCGAAACCAAUAUAAUCACAUUUAGUUAUCGAUCUGAAAUCAGGUGGGACUACCCGCUGAACUUAAGC